rnacentral:rRNA from 1 species
ACGGAAGGCAGCAGUGGGGAAUAUUGCACAAUGGGGGAAACCCUGAUGCAGCGAUGCCGCGUGGAGGAAGAAGGUUUUCGGAUUGUAAACUCCUGUCUUAAAGGACGAUAAUGACGGUACUUUAGGAGGAAGCUCCGGCUAACUACGUGCCAGCAGCCGCGGUAAUACGUAGGGAGCGAGCGUUGUCCGGAUUUACUGGGUGUAAAGGGUGCGUAGGCGGGCUUGCAAGUCAGGCGUGAAAUACCGGGGCUUAACUCCGGAGCUGCGCUUGAAACUGUAAGUCUUGAGUGAAGUAGAGGCAGGCGGAAUUCCCAGUGUAGCGGUGAAAUGCGUAGAUAUUGGGAGGAACACCAGUGGCGAAGGCGGCCUGCUGGGCUUUAACUGACGCUGAGGCACGAAAGUAUGGGGAGCAAACAGGAUUAGAUACCCUGGUA